UACAGAGGUCUCAAGCGUUGUUCGGAUUCAUUGGGCGUAAAGGGUGUGUAGGUGGCGCCGUAAGUCGGGUGUGAAAUUUCGGAGCUUAACUCCGAAACUGCAUUCGAUACUGCGGUGCUUGAGGACUGGAGAGGAGACUGGAAUUCAUGGUGUAGCGGUGAAAUGCGUAGAUAUCGUAAGGAAGACCAGUGGCGAAGGCGGGUCUCUGGACAGUUCCUGACGCUGAGGCACGAAGGCCAGGGGAGCAAACGGG
rnacentral:rRNA from 1 species